GAUGAACGCUGGCGGCGUGCCUAAUACAUGCAAGUCGAGCGAAUGGAUUAAGAGCUUGCUCUUAUGAAGUUAGCGGCGGACGGGUGAGUAACACGUGGGUAACCUGCCCAUAAGACUGGGAUAACUCCGGGAAACCGGGGCUAAUACCGGAUAACAUUUUGAACCGCAUGGUUCGAAAUUGAAAGGCGGCUUCGGCUGUCACUCAUGGACGUACCCGCGUCGCAUUAGCUAGUUGGUGAGGUAACGGCUCACCAAGGCAACGAUGCGUAGCCGACCUGAGAGGGUGAUCGGCCACACUGGGACUGAGACACGGCCCAGACUCCUACGGGAGGCAGCAGUAGGGAAUCUUCCGCAAUGGACGAAAGUCUGACGGAGCAACGCCGCGUGAGUGAUGAAGGCUUUCGGGUCGUAAAACUCUGUUGUUAGGGAAGAACAAGUGCUAGUUGAAUAAGCUGGCACCUUGACGGUACCUAACCAGAAAGCCACGGCUAACUACGUGCCAGCCGCCGCCGUAA
rnacentral:rRNA from 1 species